AGUGGGGAAUAUUGCACAAUGGGCGAAAGCCUGAUGCAGCCAUGCCGCGUGUAUGAAGAAGGCCUUCGGGUUGUAAAGUACUUUCAGCAGUGAGGAAGGGUAUGUAGUUAAUAGCUGCAUAUCUUGACGUUAGCUGCAGAAGAAGCACCGGCUAACUCCGUGCCAGCAGCCGCGGUAAUACGGAGGGUGCGAGCGUUAAUCGGAAUUACUGGGCGUAAAGCGCAUGCAGGUGGUUUGUUAAGUCAGAUGUGAAAGCCCGGGGCUCAACCUCGGAAUUGCAUUUGAAACUGGCAGGCUAGAGUACUGUAGAGGGGGGUAGAAUUUCAGGUGUAGCGGUGAAAUGCGUAGAGAUCUGAAGGAAUACCAGUGGCGAAGGCGGCCCCCUGGACAGAUACUGACACUCAGAUGCGAAAGCGUGGGGAGCAAA
rnacentral:rRNA from 1 species